UCCAUUCUAAAGCCCCUCCCUUAAGAAUCCCACCUGGAGGGCAGUUCCUUGGGCUUUAAAAGAUGAUUGACAGGACUGGAGCUGCUGCCAACUAUUGAAAUCCCUGCAGUUCCCUCCUCUGACCAGCAGCUCCAGUGGCACAGGAAGCAGGAAACAAUUUCAGCUAAUACAUGAGAAAAAUGGCAUCAAAAUCCACCCAAAAUGUCUGAAUCACAAGUAAUAAUAUAGGAAAUUGCUGGACAAAUAUUGCACUCAGUCUGUUGGAAUUCUUGGGAGUUCGAAGCCAGCAUCUUCAGACAGAAAGGUGACUUGGAAGUCCAGUGAGUGAAUAAAGCUCUGUAAGUGUUGUGAUUCCCAGCAUGAGAUUCAUUCAGUGUUCCAUCUAUGGAGACUGGGAGUUUGGGACUCAUCAAGAAAUUACCUUCCUUACAGAUGGCUCUUGUGUUUCAACUAUUACUAGCCAUUUUUGCAUGCUGAAGCUUGUCUGGUGAGUGUCCUGUUCAAACUGCCAUGAAGAUUAGAAACCAGUUGAAAAACUUAAAGAAGGCAGAUUUCCACCCCCAGGUCUGUUGCCUCUCAAGAGUGGAAUACUCAAAUAUCAAACAUCAUGAGGAAAGAGUCAGUCAAAAGUCUGGAUGGAAUGGAUUUGGGGGAGUAUCUAAAAUGUACAAAGCCCUGCAUCAUCAUCUUCUAUGCAAACAAUGCACAUUCUAACAGUGAGGUAGCACUGGUUAACUACAUGGUGAGGGCGGCUAAUGCUGACAGACUAAUGACAAUAUAUGGCAAAAAAGGUAUCCGUUGAUUGUCCUUAGUGUGCUUAGCCAUCUUUUAAAGUGAAACUAUUUUAGAAAUUGUUUGUGCCUCAUUAGGCUGCCUCAGUCUCUGCAAACGAGAAAUUUGCUUUAAUGGCAUUGUUUUGAAUUGCUGAGGGAAGAAUCUAUCAACCGCAAGGUGCCCUGCUGCUGAACUCAGCCAAAAGGCUGUUAAUAACUCCAGCAGAUGUUUCAGCUUUUUAGGCCAAUGGAGUCCUCCCCUCCCUUUUAGAGGCUUAUUUGCCAACAUGACACAAAUCCAGAGGCCACUUUUGUUAAUGCGCAAAGUAAGUUCUUCAACUGACAACAGAUACAAAAACAAUACACAAAUGACAAAUAAAACCAUGAGAUUAUUGUUUGUGCUUCUGCAA